GCUCCGGUGGCCUAGUGGUUAGAGCAUCAGCUUCGGAUGCAGGAGGUCGCGAGUUAGAACCCCGGUCGAGUCA